GGGAGCGGAGGCUGCGCGGCGGAGAGUAGAGAGCUAGAGGGUGAGAAGCGCUGGGCCGGACCAGAACUGUCUUCGCUUUUCCCUCUGCGGCUGCUCUGGUUGGUUACUUUGAGCCUUCCUCCUCAGCGCCGCAGGAGAGACUUAACAGCAAAAAUGACUGUGUCCUGAGUUCAGCCCCCACUGCUCUGGGAGCUUCCCCCUGGUUUCUGCACCUGAAGAAUGUCAUCCCAGCCGAAGGUUCUUAGGAGCGGGGAGCGACAAAGAAAAACAAAGAAAAGCAGACCUGAAAAUUGGGACCUGGGAGAAAUGUAAGACAUGUGCUUAAUUUGAGGCACAGACCAAAAGAAGCUGAGUCUGAGGGCCCUCUAAAAGUGUCCUCGUGCUUGGGCAGCUUACAUUCUUGGCGGCAGUAGUGUUAUGAAGAGGACCUUCGUAGCCAGAGACGAGUGCUCUAAACCAGUAUCAUGGCUCCAGUUCCUCUGACAAGGAUUCACAUGGG
rnacentral:antisense_RNA from 1 species